CGUGGGGAACCUGCCCCAUAGUCUGGGAUACCACUUGGAAACAGGUGCUAAUACCGGAUAAGAAAGCGGAUCGCAUGAUCAGCUUUUAAAAGGCGGCGUAAGCUGUCGCUAUGGGAUGGCCCCGCGGUGCAUUAGCUAGUUGGUAAGGUAAAGGCUUACCAAGGCGAUGAUGCAUAGCCGAGUUGAGAGACUGAUCGGCCACAUUGGGACUGAGACACGGCCCAAACUCCUACGGGAGGCAGCAGAU
rnacentral:rRNA from 1 species